rnacentral:rRNA from 1 species
UACGUAGGGUGCAAGCGUUAAUCGGAAUUACUGGGCGUAAAGCGUGCGCAGGCGGUUUUGUAAGUCUGACGUGAAAUCCCCGGGCUCAACCUGGGAAUUGCGUUGGAGACUGCAAGGCUGGAGUCUGGCAGAGGGGGGGUAGAAUUCCACGUGUAGCAGUGAAAUGCGUAGAUAUCGAGAGGAACACCAGUGGCGAAGGCGAGUCCCUGGACAACACCUGACACUAAGGGCAACGAAAGCCUAGGGGAGCAAACAGG